GAACUGAGAAAACACCAUGGCCUGUUUAAUCUGGUAUUCGUCUUACGCCACCGAUGACGCAUACAAUACGUGAACAAACAACUUGAUGCGUGCGUCGCCGAAAUGUAGCAAGAUCGAAACUAAAGAGUAUUCCAUGUUAGAUAUACGUACAAGAUAUAACACUUUGGAAAGAAUGACGGAAAGAAGACAGCGCAUGGGCGUGCAUUACCGAUGAAACAGAAAGAAGAUGCAGGAAUAUAUAGACGUGAAAUAUCUUUGUGUAAGAGGAUGCAGGAAUAUAUAGAUGUGAAAUAUCUUUGUAUGUAUUAUAUACACGCGUGCACGUUUGGCUGUUUCCGCCUUUCGUUGUAAUGUAAUUACGGGAGAGGCUAGCAGUCGACGAAACCGGACAAGUUCUUUCUCCUCAACAUCCGUACGGCGCGGCACGGGAGCGUGCGUACCUGUUCUUCAGGGUCGCGAGUGAUGCAGCGGACGGACGAUGAUGGUGGAACGAACGGGCCGAUUCCACGAAGAUGAGGUCGAGGAACGGAGGAAGGCGAUGGUGAGAGGGAUACAUGUCUACGGAUACUCGGGACACGGCCAACUCCAAGGGAUUUUGCUUUGUGAUAAAUGACGCAGACUGCAUUUUCGAUCUCUUGUCGUUCUCUUGUUGUGCGUCGUAUCCAUUUUUUCAAACAAAUAAAAUUUGAAUAAGAAGAAUGCCUUCUUGUGAAAACAGGUUUUAGACCUUCUUAAAACUAAAUUUUAAUCUUUGGUACAAUGAAACGUGAAAAUAAAAUAUUUAGAAUAUACAGAGAGUUAAAAAUUAUAUGUUAGGAACAAAAGUAUUAUUUCUUACGAUCUAAGGUUUCAAAUAAAAUAAGUAUUCUUUCAGUAAUUUCCUAAUGAACUAACGUGUUCUUACGCUUACGAAAAAGGGAUGUUUGUGCAUUGUCAAUAGUCGAUGCAUCUUUAGCGGGAAGAAGUGGGCGCAACUGGUUCACGUGUCUUCUUACUGGUUCAUGUGUCUUGCAAAAUACGAAAGGUUAAGGCCAGUCGAUGCGUGAUAUUACAUUUCGUAACACCCUGUCAUGAUACGAAUAUAAAUUAAGGUAGUUUUAUGAGGAGAAAAACUGUUUGGAAAAGAUGCAAAAGACUGUUGUCGAGAAAGAAAUAUCGGUUUUGAAAUUUAG
rnacentral:misc_RNA from 1 species